UACGGAAGGUGGCAAGCGUUGUCCGGAUUUACUGGGUGUAAAGGGUGCGUAGGCGGGGCAGCAAGUUGGAUGUGAAAUCCUCGGGCUCAACUCGAGAACUGCAUUCAAAGCUGUUGCUCUUGAGUGCAGUAGAGGCAAGCGGAAUUCCCGGUGUAGCGGUGAAAUGCGCAGAGAUCGGGAGGAACACCAGUGGCGAAGGCGGCUUGCUGGGCUGAAGCUGACGCUGAGGCACGAAAGCAUGGGUAGCAAA
rnacentral:rRNA from 1 species